AAAAACGGGUUUGACUGCAUUUGGUUACGAAAUACUUUUAAUAGAUCCGGAAGAUAUGUUUAAU
rnacentral:sRNA from 1 species